AAGAGAAGAAGAACGAGGGAAAUGGAACACGGAAAUUUUUGAGGAGGUCUUGAGAAAGGAGGAAAGGGAGACAAAAAAUACAGCUGUUUCAUUAUAGUUGUGCAACUUUAAAAGAUGUUUUUCACCCAAAAGCUCAACGACAACGACAAUUGGCAAGGGACUGAAAUGUGUGUUUU
ensembl:ncRNA F57B1.15 ncRNA